AGUGGGAUUGGUGGGUCAUAUGGUAAAGGUAUGUUUAACUUUAUAAGAAACUGCCAAACUGUUUUCCAGAGUGGCUAUACCAUUUUGCAUUCCUACCAUCAAU
rnacentral:pre_miRNA from 1 species